rnacentral:rRNA from 1 species
UUUGGAGGGCAAGUCUGGUGCCAGCAGCCGCGGUAAUUCCAGCUCCAAUAGCGUAUAUUAAAGUUGUUGCAGUUAAAAAGCUCGUAGUUGAAUUUCGGGAUCAAUUUGUCGGUCGUGCCUCGGUACGUACUGGCAUUAUUGAUUUCUCCCUUCUGAAGAACCGCGAUGUCAUUAAUUUGGUGUCGUGGGGAAUCAGGACUGUUACUUUGAAAAAAUUAGAGUGUUUAAAGCAGGCGCACGCUUGAAUACAUUAGCAUGGAAUAAUGAAAUAGGACGUUUGAUUCUAUUUUGUUGGUUUCUAGGAUCGACGUAAUGAUUAAUAGGGAUAGUUGGGGGCAUUAGUAUUCAAUUGUCAGAGGUGAAAUUCUUGGAUUUAUUGAAGACUAACUACUGCGAAAGCAUUUGCCAAGGAUGUUUUCAUUAAUCAAGAACGAAAGUUAGGGGAUCGAAGACGAUCAGAUACCGUCGUAGUCUUAACCAUAAACUAUGCCGACUAGGGAUCGGAUGAUGUUAAUUUUUUAAUGACUCAUUCGGCGCCUUACGGGAAACCAAAGUGUUUGGGUUC